AUUGAACGCUGGCGGCAGGCUUAACACAUGCAAGUCGAGCGAGCGGCGGACGGGUGAGUGAUGACUGGGAAACUGCCUGAGGGAGGGGGAUAACUACAAGAAACGGUAGCUAAUACCGCAUACCAUCAGAUGUGCCCAGAUGGCAUUAGCUAGUAGGGGGGGUAAUGGCACACCUAGGCGACGAUCCCCAGCUGGUCUGAGAGGAUGACAGUCCACACUGUAUCGUAGCCACGGUCCAUACUCCUACGGGAGGCAGCAGUGGGGAAGAUUGCACAAUGGGCGAAAGUCUUGUGCCGCGAUGCCGCGUGUGUGAAGAAGGCCUUCGGGUGGUAAAGCUCUGUUAUCGAUGAGGCGUUAAGCGCAGAAGACGCACCGGCUAACUCCGUGCCAGCAGCCGCGGUAAUUC
rnacentral:rRNA from 1 species